CAAGAAGCUCCUGCUUGCUAUGUGGGUUGCCUCUCAGAGAUUGGCGAUGAGCUUGGAGAUGAUCGAACUGGUAACGAGAGGGAUGCUUGUCUGGGUAAAGCUGAUUUGCCAGAGUUGCUGGAAGAUGUGCCUUGUGAAGUGGAUAUACUAACAAGGGACACCUGUAGUCCUCAUUGGGUGACAGAACAUGAUUCCACACAAGAGAGCAGCAGGAGAAGAACAGACUGCCAGGAGGACACAAGGGUGUCUGAGGGCUCUCUGAGGCCUAACGAUUUCCAGAGAGCCCCUGAUGCAACUCAAGCUUUUAGUGAUCCACAACAAAGUCUUGAAAUGGAUUUCAAUGCCUGUUUCUCAGAGCCAUCUGUGAGCCUAACACCAGACAAUAAUGCAGCUGGAGCACUGGAUACAGAGAGCAAAACCCCUGUCUCCCACUCUCCAGAGACUGCAGACAUAAAAAGUAAUAGCAGUAAUAGUUUAUAUCUCGAGAUAGGUUCCUCUGCUCCUCUGUUCCAUGGCUAUUCUAGAGAGGAUGGGCUUGAGAGUGAUGCAAUGAUUCCUGCUUCUAUGUUGCCAUUCCAUGGAAGCCUGAUAUUCCAGGCAGAUUCCAUGGAUAUAAUCCUGUUCCCCACUGAUGAUGAGCCGGGGAAUGAUGUGGAUGCAUAUGCUGCUGGAGAGGAGGAAGCCGAUGUAGAUGAGUAUGAUGAUGAGGAGGAUGAAGAUGAAUGUGAUGAAGAAGAUGUGGAUAAUGACGAGGCAGAGCAACAAGAGGCAGCUUUGGGGGUUGGAAGGGAAGUAGAAGUCCCAAAUGAAGAUGACACCUCUGCAUCUUUCCUAAAUUCCCUUUCAGAGAACUCAAUAAAUGAGGGUGUAGAUGAGUCCUUUGCUUAUCAGGAUGACACUGAGGACUCAAUUGAUUCCACGUCUUAUAAUGGGGAUGAAAAUGACCAUCUGUACUGCACAGAGAAGCAUGCAGAACUCUCCCAACAGUUCCCUGGGCCAGAUGAACCUGUGCAUUCAGUAAGCCAUGCUAAACCCGAAUCUUCUGGCAGUGACAGUGAAUUGGAGAUAUCCUCUGGAUCAUCUGAGCGUCCACGUGUAGAACUGCAAGGGAAUCUGGCAGACUGCAGUGUUCAUGGUGAAAGUGUAAUCGCACAACAAUUUUCAGAAACAAAGUUGCUGAAGGGUGAGCUUUCAAAAGAAUCAACUACAGAGAUCAAAACAACUGAUGAGAAAGGCAAACAGAGUACAGAUCCCUCAACAGUCACGGUUACUUCAGAGAAAGGACAGCAGAUUGCCACAGAUGAUCCAACAUUAUUUGUUGAUCAAGACAAAGUCGAACAAAAUAAUAGGCCCGUUGAUUCCUGUGUGGCAGGUGCUACAGCUGCUGACAUGUGCUUUGAGAUUAAUGUAGAUGAUAGCCAGAAUUUGGAUCAGAAAACUGCAAAUAGUAUGGAGUUGGACACAUCAUUGCAGUUAGCAGAAACUGCAACCAAUGACUUAAAUAAAGGAGUCCCCCAACUAACAUACCUGGAUGACUGCAGCCCCACAAACAUUCCAGUUUGUGCCUAUCCUGAACUAUGUGAGUUGCCAGAUAACUUAACAUCAACAGAUGUUUUACCAUUUGAACGUUCCAUGAAUCAAGAUAAUCUGACAGAGAAUCAACCUGGCAAUGAUGAUGUAAACCAAAGCUCUCAAAAUAUGUCCUGCUCCACAUACAGCAGACUUGUCAUUUCACCAAAGAAAGAGAACUCUGAGAGCAGUAUGACAGAAAGGGAACUUUACCCUGACAGUUGGACACCAAGGGAUCCCCUGUCUUUAGGUGAAUGCUGUAACUUUGAGGCUGAAAAUCUACUCAUGUGUGAGAUAGCUAGAUCAGUGCACAGUAAAGAUUUGCCAGUCACUCAUAACAUAGCCACUGGAGAAGACAACAUGGCUGAUGAUGAGGACAACAACCGAUAUUGUGACCUCCAAGAGAAAAUGGCUGACAUUGAUGUUGGUGUGGUUGAGUCAAACAUUGCCAGCUGG
ensembl:lncRNA